UGCGUAUUGGAUCCCUGUCAGUUUCCUGACAUUACGACAGGGCCAUGAUGGAUCCUGCAGGUGCUAGUCCUCCUGACCCCAGAUUUGAGGCCAUGGACCAUAGAAUGGACCAAAUGGCUUUAGCGUUACAAACUUUGUUGACACGCUCCAGUACCCAGUCUGAAGAAAUACGUUCCACUGCUAGCCACUCGCUAAGUACUGGUUUGGAAGUAGC
rnacentral:lncRNA from 1 species